UGCAGCAGCAGCACGAGCGGGCGGUCGCGGCUGAAGUCGCGGUGCACGAAGAGGAGCGUGAGCUGCACAAGCGCGCAGGGCAGCAGGGAGAAAAGCAGCGUCAGCGCCUGCCACAUGCCAUCCCCGCCCGAGCGAGCUGCACUCAAGGUGGGCUGCCCUGGACCUGUGAUCUGACUGCAGAAUGGGCCCAACUCCUGUUGCUGACCUGGAGGGCGGUGCUUCUGUCCAGAGGGGAGUCCAGCCUUACUGAGCCUGGAGCUUUCAGCUAAGAACUGACAUGGAUGGAAGAGAUAAUGAGAAAACCUGCCCUCCCAGGCAAAAGGAGGUCACAUGAUUAAGCAGACACAGGAAAAAACAUAUCAGAAGGUACUAUUUAAAGAGGAGGAAGAAGACAAGAAGUUGCUGAAUCAGGGGUGGGGGUGGGGGUAGGUGGGUAGGGAUUAGAGGUCCCAAGAAACAAUAACACCCAUGAGUAGGAUGACUGGUUCUUAGCCACAUUAAAUGUGCAUCCACAACUCACACUGAGAUGUUGAGCAGGCAGCAAGCUUUCCCGCACCCAGCCCUUUGCUGGCCUUCUCAUUUGCUUUCCUUGCCAAGUUCAUGCCAAGAUAACAUGGCCUUGCUGAAUCUGAGGCAGGUCAUUUAGCUAUUAAUUUGGAAUAGUGUUGAAUAAAUAACCCAGCUCCCCAAAGGAAAGCCUUAUAAUGCAAUUGAGAGUAUAUUUCUAUCACUGUAUGUCAUGCAGUUCUGAGGCCUGAAUUAAAGUGCAGACCAAACACAACUAAAAGUA